rnacentral:lncRNA from 1 species
UGCAACCAAGAAGUUUGUUUAAAAAACGAAAUGCUGGAUAGACCAGCACCUUUUGUCUGCUUUUCACUGGCUGAGAUAAACCUAGACCAGCUCACAGCUGUACUGCUGUACAGCUUCGCUUUUUGGUCUCUCACUGAAUCUGCCUUUAUUAUUUUCGAAACGAUUUCAGGCUGAUUCUGCAUAUCUUCCUGUGCUUAAAAAGAUGAUAAUUUGGGUUCUUGAUUAGUUUUUGUGUACAAAAUUUUAAAUUAUUUAGAGUAAGUGAGGCAAUUCCUGCAGAAACAAACAGUAACAGUGAGAAGCCACAAACGGCAGAGCAGCAGAGCAGGAUUCAUCCCUGCUGCCUCCUGGCAUCUGAGAGUGAGAGUUACUUGCCCCAGUCCCUCAAUGCAAUCAGAGGAGAGGUCAAAGAUGUCCCUUAAAGGAUGCCUUCUGUGAUGCCCACUGCUGGAUGAGCCCUGAAGUUUUGAGGAAAACAAGAAGACAAAAUUAUCUCCUUGUGAAGCCAGGAGCAGCAGGCAGCCAGCAAAAGUGUGCUGAGGUGGAAGGGACAACACGUUCACACAGCCAGAAUGGAGCUGCCUUUCUGUGAUGGAAAGGGAAGAGAAGGGAACAAGGACACCUGAGCUGCUGGGCUUCCAUCUCCUUCACUCACUGAGGUCAAUGUUGGCUCCUGGACAAGGCGACAGACACCUCCUCCCACCUCCUUCAGCAGCCCCAGUAGGGAUGGAACCCAGCAAGACGUCUCCAUGGUCUUGCUGGGAGGCUGGAAACUUCACUAAAGCCACAUGGCAGCAUUGCCAGAGCCUGGCUCAUCCUCCACAAGCUCUUUGCCUUCCCAAGGUCUCUGCCAGGCCCUUGUCAUGCAUCUCCAUCACAUGCACUGCUCCUGUGCCCACUUUGGAUGCUGCAGACACCUUCCAGGUACAGAGAGCAAAUGCUGCCUGUCCAAGCCAGCCUCUGCAGAGCCUUUCAGCUGGCAAUAUAAGAAUAAGCAACCACCUAUAUUUCCCCUGAGGUUGGAUAAGCUUUCCCUCUUUGUGACAUUGCUGUUCGCCAUGGAUCAAUUUCUUCCCUGCCAGCCUUUGCUUCUUUCUAUAGUGGAUUAAAUUGCUUUGAUUAAAUGAAAAUGCUGGUAUAUUACCAGGGAGGCUCAGGGCUUCUUUAUCAUGCAAACAAACUGCACAGAGGUGGGCAGGACAGCCAUCAAGCAGGAGCUGCACACUGCAGAGAGAACUGUUACACAGAACGUUCGUCCCUGCACUUCAUUAUCUCAUGGCAAUAAAUUUUAUAUCUCAGCUUUCUUUUCCUAUUGC